GACGAACGCUGGCGGCGUGCUUAACACAUGCAAGUCGAACGGAAAGGCCCUGCUUUUGUGGGGUGCUCGAGUGGCGAACGGGUGAGUAACACGUGAGUAACCUGCCCUUGACUUUGGGAUAACUUCAGGAAACUGGGGCUAAUACCGGAUAGGAGCUCCUGCUGCAUGGUGGGGGUUGGAAAGUUUCGGCGGUUGGGGAUGGACUCGCGGCUUAUCAGCUUGUUGGUGGGGGAGUGGCUUACCAAGGCUUUGACGGGUAGCCGGCCUGAGAGGGUGACCGGCCACAUUGGGACUGAGAUACGGCCCAGACUCCUACGGGAGGCAGCAGUGGGGAAUAUUGCACAAUGGGCGGAAGCCUGAUGCAGCAACGCCGCGUGCGGGAUGACGGCCUUCGGGUUGUAAACCGCUUUCGCCUGUGACGAAGCGUGAGUGACGGUAAUGGGUAAAGAAGCACCGGCUAACUACGU
rnacentral:rRNA from 1 species